AUUGAACGCUGGCGGCAUGCCUUACACAUGCAAGUCGAACGGUAACAGGUCUUCGGAUGCUGACGAGUGGCGAACGGGUGAGUAAUACAUCGGGACGUGCCUAGUAGUGGGGGAUAACUACUCGAAAGAGUGGCUAAUACCGCAUGAGAUCUACGGAUGAAAGCAGGGGAUCGCAAGACCUUGUGCUACUAGAGCGGCCGAUGGCAGAUUAGGUAGUUGGUGGGAUAAAGGCUUACCAAGCCGACGAUCUGUAGCUGGUCUGAGAGGACGAUCAGCCACACUGGGACUGAGACACGGCCCAGACUCCUACGGGAGGCAGCAGUGGGGAAUUUUGGACAAUGGGCGAAAGCCUGAUCCAGCAAUGCCGCGUACAGGAUGAAGGCCUUCGGGUUGUAAACUGUUUUUGUACGGAACGAAAAGCCCCGGGUUAAUACCCUGGGGUCAUGACGGUACCGUAAGAAUAAGCACCGGCUAACUACGUGCCAGCCGCCGCAGUAA
rnacentral:rRNA from 1 species